rnacentral:rRNA from 1 species
CAGGCGCGAAAACUUUACAAUGCGGGAAACCGUGAUAAGGGGACACCGAGUGUCAGCAUCAUAUGCUGGCUGUCCAGGUGUGUAAAAUACACCUGUUAGCAAGGGCCGGGCAAGACCGGUGCCAGCCGCCGCGGUAACACCGGCGGCCCGAGUGGUGAUCGUGAUUAUUGGGUCUAAAGGGUCCGUAGCCGGUUUGGUCAGUCCUCCGGGAAAUCUGAUAGCUCAACUAUUAGGCUAUCGGGGGAUACUGCCAGACUUGGAACCGGGAGAGGUAAGAGGUACUACAGGGGUAGGAGUGAAAUCUUGUAAUCCCUGUGGGACCACCUGUGGCGAAGGCGUCUUACCAGAACGGGUUCGACGGUGAGGGACGAAAGCUGGGGGCACGAACCGGAUUAGAUACCCGGGUAGUCCCAGCCGUAAACGAUGCUCGCUAGGUGUCAGGCAUGGCGCGACCGUGUCUGGUGCCGCAGGGAAGCCGUGAAGCGAGCCACCUGGGAAGUACGGCCGCAAGGCUGAAACUUAAAGGAAUUGGCGGGGGAGCACAACAACGGGUGGAGCCUGCGGUUUAAUUGGACUCAACGCCGGACAACUCACCGGGGGCGACAGCAAUAUGUAGGCCAAGCUGAAGACUUUGCCUGAAUCGCUGAGAGGAGGUGCAUGGCCGUCGCCAGUUCGUACUGUGAAG